rnacentral:rRNA from 1 species
UACGUAGGGGGCUAGCGUUGUUCGGAAUUACUGGGCGUAAAGGGCGCGUAGGCGGCACUGUUAGUCAGGCGUGAAAUUCCUGGGCUCAACCUGGGGACUGCGCUUGAUACGGCAGAGCUAGAGGAUGGAAGAGGCUAGCGGAAUUCCCAGUGUAGAGGUGAAAUUCGUAGAUAUUGGGAAGAACACCGGUGGCGAAGGCGGCUCUCUGGGACGGUACUGACGCUGAGACGCGAAAGCGUGGGGAGCGAACAGG